rnacentral:piRNA from 1 species
UUAAAGGCACAUACCACCACACCUGGACCUUU